UACGUAGGGUGCGAGCGUUGUCCGGAAUUAUUGGGCGUAAAGAGCUCGUAGGCGGUCUGUCGCGUCUGCUGUGAAAACCCGAGGCUCAACCUCGGGCCUGCAGUGGGUACGGGCAGACUAGAGUGCGGUAGGGGAGAAUGGAACUCCUGGUGUAGCGGUGGAAUGCGCAGAUAUCAGGAAGAACACCGAUGGCGAAGGCAGUUCUCUGGGCCGUAACUGACGCUGAGGAGCGAAAGCGUGGGGAGCGAACAUG
rnacentral:rRNA from 1 species